rnacentral:tRNA from 2 species
GGCUAGUUGGUCUAGGGGUAUGAUUCUCGCUUCAUGUGUGAGAGGUCCUGGGUUCAAAUCCCGGACGAGCCC